rnacentral:rRNA from 1 species
CGAACGGGUGAGUAAUGCGUGACCAACCUGCCCCAUGCUCCAGAAUAGCUCUUGGAAACGGGUGGUAAUGCUGGAUGCUCCAACUUGACGCAUGUCUUGUUGGGAAAGUGUUUAGUGGCAUGGGAUGGGGUCGCGUCCUAUCAGCUUGUAGGCGGGGUAAUGGCCCACCUAGGCUUCGACGGGUAGCCGGCCUUAGAGGGCGGACGGCCACAUUGGGACUGAGAUACGGCCCAGACUCCUACGGGAGGCAGCAGAC